rnacentral:rRNA from 1 species
AUGGAUCCGACGGAGAUACUGAACAUGAGAUUCCAUUUUGGUGGCGAGUUCAUCAGUAUUGGUCCAAAUUUGCAAUAUGUUGGGGGGGAUGAGAUGUCAGAGAUUGAGAGGGAUAAGUUGUCACUGCAGGAGGUGAAAGGGUUUUUGAAAGAUCAUAUGCAGUUGAAAGAAUCAAUGAAAUUUUAUUUUCAGAUACCUGGGAAAUCAAUGGCAGAGGGCUUGAUGUUUCUGAAUGAUGACAGUAAAUGUGUCCAGAUGGGAGAGUACACUGAUGUGGGAGGAGUAGCUGACAUAUAUGUUGAGUACCAUGGAGAAGAGGACAGUGAGCAUAGCAGCAGUGGGAGUGAUUUUGAAAAUGAU